rnacentral:lncRNA from 13 species
GUCAUUAAUGUUAUGAGUGUUUCUUGUGAAUUUUCAAAAAGGUUUAAUAAAAUCUUCCAUUACUACUGAUAAUUUAUUUCUGUUACAGGUAUGCCAUCUCUUGGAUUAUCAUGUUGGAUCCAAUUCAGAGGAAUAUGAAUUGAAAACAGUACUUACAGAAGGAAUGCUCUGGAAGAUGCCUUAUUCUUUGAUGCUGAUGCUAUAAAGAAAUAGAUCUACAGGAAAGCCACACUUCCAAAGCAUUGGAAGCAAGCGGAAUGAAAUGCAGCUGAAAUCCAGGCAGGAGUU